AGCGAACGUUAGCGGCGGGCCUAACACAUGCAAGUCGAGCGAGAAAGUGGCUUCGGCCAUCAGUAAAGCGGCGGACGGGUGAGUAACACGUAGGUAAUCUUCCCUUGAGCGGGGGACAACGUUUCGAAAGGAACGCUAAUACCGCAUACGUUUCUGGGGACUCUGGUCUCUGGAAGGAAAGCUAGGCCGCAAGGUCCGGCACUCGAGGAGGAGCCUGCGUCGCAUCAGCUAGUUGGUGGGGAACGGCCUACCAAGGCGAAGACGCGUAGCUGGUCUGAGAGGAUGAUCAGCCACACUGGGACUGAGACACGGCCCAGACUCCUACGGGAGGCAGCAGUGGGGAAUAUUGGACAAUGGGCGCAAGCCUGAUCCAGCCACGCCGCGUGAGUGAUGAAGGCC
rnacentral:rRNA from 1 species